GGAGCCGCAGUUUCUGAUGGGCCCAGAUACAUUCAUCACCUCUUCCACCUAGAGUCGGUGCGAGUCCACUUGAUGUUUUCUUUCGAAUACAAACAGAAAUCCCUUGCUAAGAAGCAUUUUUAAUAAUAAACCUUGAUUUAGUAAUAUAAUAACAUUUUUGCCAUUAUGGCUGAUGUGGCACUUUCACGGCCCUCUUCAGCUAAUUAAACUAAUAGACCUUUAUUUACUAUGAUAUUUACAAUUAUUGCCAUUAUGACCUACUUAAUCAAAUGAUAAUAUGAAAUGAAUACAGCGUUACCCGGUUCGUGUAAUAGGACAAUAGUCUGUUUAAAUUAUAAAUCUUUCUUAACCAGUUUUCUCAAUUCAAAAAAGGGGAAAUGGGCUACGAAGAUCUUUCGUCUGCACCACUUUCUCACAGUCUCGAGUUGAUUGCUUCUCCAAUCUUCCUCGCAUCACUUUGAUGUUGUAUGUUGUUUCAUAAGAGAGAGCGAGACAUGUGGAGAAAUCUGCAGAGCAAAGAUCAAUGCAUUUGAUGCCACGGUGAUCUGGGACGAGCAAGGCUCGAGCUAAGCAUUUAAAGAGACUGUUUUUGUUUCUAUGACCAUAUUAGUAAAGAACCUACAGCUGCAGUCCUCAGAUAUGAAUAUGAACAUGUUUGUGUAUGUUGUUUCGUAAGAGUUUGCCGGUUACGAGCAGUAAUAAACCGGAGUCCUCAAAUGUGGGUAAAAGUUUUGAGAGUAUUACUUAAGCUGUGGUUUUUCGUUGAUCAUUGUCUCUAACUAUCCUAUUGCAUUUGGUAUUAAAAUGUGCAGGCGUAAGUCUGAAUAAUGAAGAGAACAAAGCAUGUUUUAUUGGCUUAAGGGCUGUAAUUUAAAAUUAUUUUCUCAUAAAAGUUUUUUUCUCUGGCAUUGGAACAUGGUUUGCUUUUUUGGUUAUGGCAUCCCAUCGUAAGAAUCUUAGAUAUUUUGUUUCUAGAGUUACAUCCAUUUA